rnacentral:rRNA from 1 species
CCUAGUACCAUAGCAAGUUGGUACCACUCCUUCCCAUCCCGAACAGGACAGUGAAACGACUUUGCGCCGAUGAUAGUGCGGGUUCCCGUGUGAAAGUAGGUCAUCGCUAGGC